AUUUUACCAGAAGUCAUUACUUUUUUAUUUGCAUUUCCUUUCAUUAUCAAAGUUAAAAAAAAAAAAAAAGCAGCAGCAGCAGCAGCCCAAUGUAGUUAUGCAAUGGUUUAUGCAGUUGUGACGAGCCUGAAAGUGCUCUCUGGGCUGCGUGUGAGUCGCCACCUCCCUGGCUUCCCGCACUCAGGGCAACAGGAGGCACUGGGAAUUUCUCGAAUGUUCACAAGAAUGUCGAGAGGGAGUUCUGACUAAUCAUAAUUCCUUGAAGUUCUUGUGGGAAAAUGCAGUCCCAAUUUCCUUUUAGAGACAACUGUCGAAAACUACUGGUCCUGAGUUUUCAUUGGUGCAGAGAACGGUAAAAAGGCACUUCAGGGGAAGACCCGGCAGGUGAACUGUCCUUCCGUGGGGACAUCAGAGCCCUCCGCACAGAGCCGGGUGGCGUUCGCCAGCCACCAGUGCCUGCUGGAGUUCUGAUCCACUCGGCUCAGUGUUUUGGUCGUUAAUGUGAUCGGCUCACUAAACCUGUCAAUGUCCUUCUUGCUGUCCUCUUCUCUGAGAGACCCAAAUCUUGGUGUCUCUCCCCUGCCCCUGCUCUCUCCUGCCCUGACAGGUAUCUCCCCGGCAGGACCUGGAAACCAAGUCUCCAGGGAGAUAAGCAGGAACUGCAUGUCAUGUGGGCGGGCCAAGGAGCCGCCAGUCACCCUGUUCUUGCUGCUGGGCACUCGGUCCCACUGGAAGUCUCUCCGGCCUCUCGUCUCCACCAGGCCAGCUGACAAUUAGAUUAAGUCAGGAGAUGGCAAAGAAAGAAAAAGGAAAAGAAAAGGCUAGAAAAGGCAAGGAAAAAACCCCCGCAGGCAACCUCAGCCGAGCUGCCCGGGUGGCUCUCUGCAGAGGGGAGUAUGGAGGUGGCAGCUGCCCUACACACGGCGCCCCAGCUCACAGGGGCAGCUGAAGGGGGAGAUUUCAAGACACGGAGAUGCCAUGGGCUGAGGGAGCCUGCAGGCUCAGGCCCGGUCUGCCCACUCUGGCAGGGCAGCCUGGCCAGGCCCACAGGCGGCUGCCCACUCCUCCCAGCCUGGCCAUGCUGGUCUGGCCUGGACUCUCAGCACCUGUCACCAGGCCUUUGUUUUUGUUUCUAAGGAACAAAAUAAUGAAAAACUCUUUUGAUGGUCUCAGCCGACAUACACUCUUUGUGUGUAUUUCCAGAAAUAGCCCAGAUAUGAGUGGCCUUACUCCCUCAAGGUGUUCAGGGCCAACUCCUACCUUCUCGGAGGAAUGCAGAGAGAGGGUGAGUCCUUGGGGCACAGGGAUCUCUUUGCUCCCAGACGGGCAUCUGCUCACUCUGUGGAGGUUCAGGCUCCCUUGUGGGGACCACACAAGCAUCACUCCUCUCGGCUAAGCAGCAGGACAACAGGGAAGACAAGCGUAGGAAUUGUGGGCUUUAGGGUUUUGUGCCAGCUUCACGUCAUUUCUUCUGUUGUGCAUUUGGUCAUCUAACAGACAUUGAUGUGAAGCCAGGGGCCGAGGGAACAGAAGUGAGCCCCCAGUGGUCCUGGCUCUCAGGGGCGCUCCCCUGGAUGGCUGGAAAGGCUCACCUCCUGUGUAUCCCCAUGUUCCCUCCAGGAGGUGAAGGGCCCUCACUUUGAAAAGUGCCAACCGAGCAGUUUCGUCCGUCCGUGAAUGAGCUUUGGCAAGCACAUGGCUGAGUCACAGUCUUGGUGACACAGAGCACGUGGCUUUAAAUUGCCAGAAGUAUGACUGGCACCCCGGCCUGUGCCUCCCCACCCGGAGGGGUUCUGGAUGAGCCGUCAGCUCCCAACAAGCAAUCCAAAGAUAAUCCUUCUUGUUUUCUAAAAGCCAGCUGUUGAGUUUCUAAGCCUGUCCGUACAUGGUGAAUUCCUUGAAGGCAGUUGAAGUAACCACUGAUUUUUUUUUUUUUUAAUUAUCUAAGCUAAGCGCCUUUUUCUGAGAAGAGCAGAUUCCCCUGCAGGUCUCCCGAGCUGGAGGGGAAGGUGGAGACUGUUCUUACUUGGGAGUUGAGUGGUGUGAUCAGGCCUGCUGAUGGCAGGCACCUCGGUUCCUGACGUUGGAAGCUCCUGGCACCCACCCAUGCCUGCCUGACCCUCCCUGCAGCAGCCCCACCUCUGCUAUGCACGACAGAGCCGCGAUGGGAGAAGACCAUGGGCAGCCGCGAUGGGAGAAGACCAUGGGCAGCCGCGAUGGGAGAAGACCAUGGGCAGCCCUCCCGGUGUCCACCAAGCAGGGUGGAAGCUAGGCAGCUGGAGGCUUAUCAGUGACAGGCUGAGGCCUGACUCAUGGCCCCGUCACAGCUCUUAGUGGAGGACUGACCCACAGAGGAAAUUACACAGCACUCUGUGGCCCGUGGUCGAGGCAGGGGCUUUUCCAAGUGCCUCAACUGGGAAGCAGCUUUCACCCACGCUGGAACCUGAGACCUGGGGACCCCCGCUAACUUCAGUUCUUUUUAGACUAUUAGAAAACAAGACUGGCACCUAAAGCCACGCCCUGGACAUGAGAUCAAGUGUCCCCAGUCUGCUUCCUCUGCUUACAGACAAAGGCUAUGCGACUCCUGAGUGAAGUGAACACAGACCAUCGCGGUGGAGGGCUAUUCUGGAAACCCGAAUGGCAACUCUAGCUCCAGGGGAAGAAAGGAGCUGCCCAUUAACAGAAGGAAGAUGAUGUGUAUGGGAUCUAAAGUGGAAUUCAAAGAGGAAGAUUUGGACUGCGUAACUUCCAACAUCAUCCAGAGGAAAAGACUAACCUUAGCCCUACAGUAGAGAGAUGAGGUCAUCUGGAGUCUGAAGAACAGAAUGGUGGAGCUUCUCAUCAAGUUGCAGAUCUUUCUGUUCCAUGUGAUCUAUAUUCAGCGUGGAAGGAGAAGGCGUCUGUGACCUGGAUCCCAGAGCUGAAUGGACUGGAGAAG